GAAGAGUGCAGCAGAUUGAUGAGACAGUGAAGAAGAGAAAGAUGAUGGAAGAACUAAAGAACAGCCAGCCAAAGCAGCUCCAUCAGCAGAGGAGGAGCUUGCCAGGGUACGGUCAGCCUUUGUCUGGAGGGUAACAAUAGAAAUCCUUAAACUGCUCCUUGAGGCCCUUGUAAGUGA